GUCACCUUCUCAUAAUGAGGCUCCCUGCUCAGCUUCUGGGGCUGCUGAUGCUCUGGCUCCCUGGAUCCACUGGGGAUGUUGUGAUGACUCAGUCUCCACUCUCCCUGCCCGUCACACCUGGAGAGCCGGCCUCCAUCUCCUGCAGGUCUAGUCAGAGCCUCCUGCAUAGUAGUGGAAACACCUACUUGAGUUGGUUUCAGCAGAAGCCCGAGGCUUCUGCACAAGCUGUCAUCAUGAGGAGCUGACUGAGGGCAAUUAGUAAAAAUCUUGGAUUUCAG